rnacentral:rRNA from 1 species
UACGUAGGGUGCAAGCGUUGUCCGGAAUCAUUGGGCGUAAAGCGCGCGUAGGCGGCCAUUUAAGUCCGCUGUGAAAGUCAAAGGCUCAACCUUUGAAAGCCGGUGGAUACUGGAUGGCUAGAGUACGGAAGAGGCGAGUGGAAUUCCUGGUGUAGCGGUGGAAUGCGCAGAUAUCAGGAGGAACACCAAUAGCGAAGGCAGCUCGCUGGGACGUUACUGACGCUGAGGCGCGAAAGCGUGGGGAGCGAACAGG